rnacentral:tRNA from 1 species
GCCGGUGUAGCUCAAUUGGCAGAGCACUCGACUUGUAAUCGAGAGGUUGUGGAUUCGACUUCCCCCACCGGCUCCA